CAUUCCGCGUGAGUGAAGAAGGCCUUCGGGUUGUAAAGCUCUUUCAGCCGGAAAGAAACGGUACGCUCUAACAUAGCGUGCUAAUGACGGUACCGGCAGAAGAAGCACCGGCUAACUACGUGCCAGCAGCCGCGGUAAUACGUAGGGUGCGAGCGUUAAUCGGAAUUACUGGGCGUAAAGCGUGCGCAGGCGGAUUAUUAAGCAAGACGUGAAAGCCCCGGGCUUAACCUGGGAAUGGCGUUUUGAACUGGUAGUCUAGAGUGUGUCAGAGGGGGGUGGAAUUCCACGUGUAGCAGUGAAAUGCGUAGAUAUGUGGAGGAACACCAAUGGCGAAGGCAGCCCCCUGGGAUAACACUGACGCUCAUGUACGAAAGCGUGGGUAGCAAACAGGAUUAGAUACCCUGGUAGUCCACGCCCUAAACGAUGUCAACUGGUUGUUGGGGGAGUGAAAUCCCUUAGUAACGAAGCUAACGCGUGAAGUUGACCGCCUGGGGAGUACGGUCGCAAGAUUAAAACUCAAAUGAAUUGACGGA
rnacentral:rRNA from 1 species